CGCGAACCAAUGAACGGACUGCAACCCGUUGAUUUACGUAGCGAUUGGCGGCGAGUAAACCUGUCAACACGUUAAAUUCCAGCUAACACAUGUGCCAAAUGAAUCGUAUAGCAAAACUGAAAGAGAGAUAAUAACCGGCUACAAAAUGGCAAAUGAUGGCGUGGAAUACACCAUUGUGUUUCCAGAUGCAUUGGUCUCGGAUAGACACUGGCAUGGAACAAAAUAACCAGUUGUCAUACUGCUGGGAUGGGCUGGAUGCAGAGGCAGUAUUCUUCUCUGAAUCUUUUGGCGACAAGGAGCUGAGUAACACUGCCCUCAAACUGCUUGAGAUACUCUAUGAUUACGAGGUGGAAAACAGUCCCAUAUUUUUCCAUGUGUUCAGCAACGGGGGAUUCAUGCUUUACCGCUACAUUGUUGAGCUCUUGCACAGUCAUAAACAGUUCAGCACCCUUUGUAUAGUUGGGGCUGUGGUGGACAGGCCCCAGGCACUCGAAAUGUGAGGGGGGCAUUACGGGCUCUUACAGCCACUCUGUGACCCAAACUCAAUGUCAUGUUGAUGUAUGUUCUCUUGGCACUGUUUGCUGUAACAGUUUUCCUGCCUAGGGUGGUUCUAUACCCUGUGACCAAGUACACCCACAAGAACCACUACGAUGCCAUCCGGGAGAGCCUUCCUACCUGGCCACAGCUGUACCUGUACUCCAGAGCUGAUCGAGUGAUUCGGUACAGUGAUGUUGACCUCAUGGUCAAAACCCCUGCCCAUGUGAGCCACUUCUGUGACUUUCCAGAGGAGUACUCCAAGCGAUGCCUGGCUGUAUUCAGAAGGGACCCACCAAAAACUUGAUACUUGAGCCAGCAUUGAAAGCACACUACUGUAACAUAUCUCAUAAGUCUACGGCACUUCUGUUUUUGUGAUUAUACUGUAAUGUUACACAUGUACACUACCGUUCAAAAGUUUGGGGUCAUGUAGAAAUGUCUUUGUUUUUGAAAGAAAAUAAUUUUUUGGGGGCCAUUAAAAUAACAUAAAAUUUAU